GACGAACGCUGGCGGCGUGCUUAACACAUGCCAGUCGAACGGAAAGGCCCUGCUUUUGUGGGGUGCUCGAGUGGCGAACGGGUGAGUAACACGUGAGUAACCUGCCCUUGACUUUGGGAUAACUUCAGGAAACUGGGGCUAAUACCGGAUAGGAGCUCCUGCUGCAUGGUGGGGGUUGGAAAGUUUCGGCGGUUGGGGAUGGACUCGCGGCUUAUCAGCUUGUUGGUGGGGUAGUGGCUUACCAAGGCUUUGACGGGUAGCCGGCCUGGGAGGGUGACCGGCCACAUUGGGACUGAGAGACGGCGCAGACUGCUACGGGAGGCAGCGGGGGGGAAUAUUGCACAAUGGGCGGAAGCCUGAUACAGCGACGCCGCGUGCGGGAUGACGGCCUUCGGGUUGUAAACCGCUUUCGCCUGUGACGAAGCGUGAGUGACGGUAAUGGGUAAAGAAGCACCGGCUAACUACGUG
rnacentral:rRNA from 1 species